rnacentral:rRNA from 1 species
ACCCGCUGAACUUAAGCAUAUAAGUAAGCGGAGGAUAAGAAACUAAAUAGGAUUCCCUUAGUAAUGGCGAAUGAACAGGGAUCAGCUCAGGAUGGAAAUUGGGGCCUUUGGCCUUGAAUUGUAAUCUGGAGAUGUACCACCAACUGGGGCGCAGAUGUAAGCCUCUUGGAAAAGAGCAUCAAUGAGGGUGAGAGUCCCGCAUGUCAUCUGCAGUCCCCAGUGCACGGUGUACCUUCUAAGAGUCACGUUCCUCGGGAUUGGAGCGCAAAUUGGGUGGUAAAUUUCAUCUAAAGCUAAAUAUUGCUUCGAGACCGAUAGCAAACAAGUACCAUGAGGGAAAGGUGAAAAGGACUUUGAGAAGAGAGUUAAAAGUGCCUGAAAUUGCUGAAAGGGAAGCGAAUGGAACCAGUGCAGCUUGGCAAGAUUGUCAUGUGCCAGUGUGAUUGCUUGCUGCCUCAACGUAAGUGUGGUAGUAGGUCUUGAGCAUGACGCCCGUGGUGCUUCUUGCCUUGUGUGUCAACACCAGUUCACGGCUGAGGAAAACUUCAGGGACAUGGUAGCCUGCCUCCGGGUGGGUGAAUGUGCUUGCUGGAACUCAUCUGUGGUCUAGCUGUUGACUAAAUGGUUCCAUCCGACCCGUCUUGAAACACGGACCAAGGAGUCUAACAUAUGUGCAAGUUCACGGGUGGUUAAACCUGCUUGCGAAAUGAAAGUGACUGCUGGGAUAUUUGCACCAGCAACCGACCAAUCAAUUGAGAGAGGUUUGAGUAUGAGCAUAUCUGUUAGGACCCGAAAGAUGGUGAACUAUGCCUGUGAAGGGCAAACUCAGGGGAAACUCUGAUGGAGGCUCGUAGCGAUACUGACGUGCAAAUCGUUCGUCAUACAUGGGUAUAGGGGCGAAAGACUAAUCGAACCAUCUAGUAGCUGGUUCCCUCCGAAGUUUCCCUCAGGAAAGG